GAUGAACGCUGGCGGCGUGCCUAAUACAUGCAAGUCGAGCGAACAGACGAGGAGCUUGCUCCUCUGACGUUAGCGGCGGACGGGUGAGUAACACGUGGAUAACCUACCUAUAAGACUGGGAUAACUUCGGGAAACCGGAGCUAAUACCGGAUAACAUGUUGAACCGCAUGGUUCAACAGUGAAAGACGGUCUUGCCGUCACUUAUAGAUGGAUCCGCGCCGCAUUAGCUAGUUGGUAAGGUAACGGCUUACCAAGGCAACGAUGCGUAGCCGACCUGAGAGGGUGAUCGGCCACACUGGAACUGAGACACGGUCCAGACUCCUACGGGAGGCAGCAGUAGGGAAUCUUCCGCAAUGGGCGAAAGCCUGACGGAGCAACGCCGCGUGAGUGAUGAAGGUCUUCGGAUCGUAAAACUCUGUUAUUAGGGAAGAACAAAUGUGUAAGUAACUAUGCACGUCUUGACGGUACCUAAUCAGAAAGCCACGGCUAACUACGUG
rnacentral:rRNA from 1 species